GAUGAACGCUAGCUGGAGGCUUAAUACAUGCAAGUCGAGCGGGAUUGGGUAGCAAUACUCAUGAGAGCGGCGCACGGGUGAGUAACGCGUACACGACCUACCUCUAACAGGGGGAUAGCCCUGGGAAACUGGGAUUAAUACCGCAUAUUAUUCUGAAUAAUAAAGGUUUGGAAUGAAAGCUGAGGCGGUUAGAGAUGGGUGUGCGUCUGAUUAGCUAGUUGGUGGGGUAACGGCCUACCAAGGCGAUGAUCAGUAGGGGGCGUGAGAGCGUGGUCCCCCACACGGGGACUGAGACACGGACCCGACUCCUACGGGAGGCAGCAGUAAGGAAUAUUGGUCAAUGGGCGAAAGCCUGAACCAGCCAUCCAGCGUGCAGGAAGAAGGCCCUAUGGGUUGUAAACUGCUUUUAUCAGGGAAGAAACCUCUGGAUUUACUCCGGAGCUGACGGUACCUGAAGAAUAAGCACCGGCUAACUCCGUGCCAGCCGCCGCGGUAAAAC
rnacentral:rRNA from 1 species